GACGAACGCUGGCGGCGUGCCUAAUACAUGCAAGUCGAACGAGAGCGACCGGUGCUUGCACUGGUCAAUCUAGUGGCGAACGGGUGAGUAACACGUGGGUAACCUGCCCAUCAGAGGGGGAUAACAUCCGGAAACGGAUGCUAAAACCGCAUAGGUCUUCGAGCCGCAUGGCUUGAAGAGGAAAAGAGGCGCAAGCUUCUGCUGAUGGAUGGACCCGCGGUGCAUUAGCUAGUUGGUGAGGUAACGGCUCACCAAGGCCGUGAUGCAUAGCCGACGUGAGGGGGUGAUCGGCGACAUUGGGACUGAGACACGGCCAAAACUACUACGGGAGGCAGCAGUAGGGAAUCUUACGCAAUGGACGCAAGUCUGACGGAGCAACGCCGCGUGAGUGAAGAAGGUUUUCGGAUCGUAAAACUCUGUUGUUAGAGAAGAACAAGUGCUAGAGUAACUGUUAGCGCCUUGACGGUAUCUAACCAGAAAGCCACGGCUAACUACGUG
rnacentral:rRNA from 1 species